ACCAGCUUACAUCAACAAGCGUGGAGCCUCCACUCCGUUCCAAAAACUCCGCAACAGUCAUGCGCUAAAUUUUGGGAUGCCUGACAAGGUCGCACCGUCGUCUAAAAGCUGCAACAAAAGGAAGCAACCGGAAGUUUGAUCAUCUGAGGAGCUGGUGUUGUGAGCUUCUCCAAAAGCUUUGGCUGUCAGGCCCAUCUAGAAUUUUACGUAGCGGUGCCAUUGAAGUGGCCAUUACCUGGAGCGAGAGAGAGAGAGAGAGAGAGAGAGAGAGAGAGAGAGUUUCUACAAAGUUUUCCAACGAGCAGCCAGUCCAAGAGAGCGUUAGAUGGCAGCCAAGCUCACGUAAAAUCGAGAUCGCCAAGAGCGUAGAAAAUACGUUCAAGGAGGUCGCAAGUAGAGGCCAUCGCAUCUAAGAUCGAUUGAAGAAGAAAGGAUGAAAACCAGCGAUCGAAACGAGAAAAAAGGAGAACUUACAGUGCUUGACGAGCAAUGAUACGGCUUGAGCGGCGGAGUCGCCAAAUGUGUAGCACUGGACGAGAGCUCGGACGAUCGGCUUAGCGAGAGGGAUCGCGAGACCGGUCAUUAAAAGCAUGCAAAGCUUGAUGCCUCGAUCAUCUUGAGCAAAGAUCUGAUUGAUCCAAAAGAAAAACUUAAACGCGAGAAGUAUCGAAAGAGUUACUUCAACCUGCAAAAGCCAUUGAGCCAAAGCUCCCACUGUCGAGGCCAAAACGAGCAAAACACCUCCUGUCAAGCACCACUUUGUAUGAAUCGACUUUAAAGCUCAAGGCAAUGAGGAUUGCAAAGCUUGCAAUGAAUUGCAGCCUGCAUGGAUCCAAGAACACAGUCAAGAACACACGAAUCUUUUGUCUUGUAACCAAAACUUACAGCGAGAAUGAUCGAUAUGCUUGAUAGAGCAGGACUCAAGGAUGCAAUCCCGUAUCUUCCCGAGACACUGCACACGAAACCCAUUCCAAAGUUUGGCUACAAACUGGACGUGAAAGCUCGGUCAAAACUUCCACAGCCGAUUCCCAUCAAGCACGCCAGUGUUACACAAGGCGCCAUGAUUCUCAGCUGGAUCAAGAGGAUGGUUUUUGCAACUUGAGAGUUUUUCUUCUUCUGAAGCUACCUGAAGUAUAGCCAUGCUUCUCGUGAUCAAUCCACUGCUUGUUUUCAAUAACAAUCUGUUUGGAAAGCUUUUCAGAUUCUACGACAGAAGGAAUGCCGAAAACUUACCCUGUUGUGAUUGCAUCAAUAAGAAAAGCCGCUAAUGUGUACAUGAGAAUGCCAAGGCUCAAAGGUAUCUGAUAAAAAAGAGGAUGGUGUAAGCGUAGGGGAAAAAAACCGGUUUUCAUUUGAGAUCUUGCUAAAAGAGGAUGAAAAAAAUGACUUCAAGAAACUCGAAACAUACCUUAAGGCCGAUACCAUUGCUAUGUGGAUUGGUCCAUUGAUUCCUGUAAGAAUUAACGGUGAAUUUUGCUCGAUGCUUCAGCUAGAAACUGUAUACCUCCAAGGAUUAUCAGAAAAAAUCCUGGUACAAUGGACGCAUAUCUACAAACUUUCGAACUUAGCAAAGAGAACCAUGAACUCGAUGCAUACCCGAACGCAUCUACAACAGGAUCAACACCAAAUACAGCAGCAAGAACAAGCUCACGAACUAAUCCCUGCGAAGGGGUGAAGAAAAAACUCAAAAGUCUUGCGAAGAAUGAAAAACAUUUUUAACACGAGAGGGAUACAACAAGACUUACCAAGACUUUGCUAAGAGCAGUAGCACUUCCCAUCACUCCCGCUAGCUUCAAAAACUUACCACCGCCACCUGAGAAGAAAAUAAUCUUGAGAAGAAGCGAACAAAGAGAAAGAAGAAAAACCUCUGGAGUCAACAAAGACGUAGCCCGAUCCUUUGCAAGAGUCUUCGUUUCCAGCAUACCUGAGCACUUAGUUUGCCGGAAACUAGAAGCCCACUUGAGAGGGAGGCCCUCCUACCGAGAGACAAGGAGCCUGGAGGCGAAAAACAUGAAUCGUCACAGCUUCGUUUCUUCUUACCUGGGCACUGACGAACCGAUCCAUUCGAGAGAAAGACCCACAACUCGCUCAUCUCAAGAUGACCUCUCUCUCUCUCUCUCUCUCUCGGGUUUUGGACAUCAAUGCGGCAAUAAGCUAUGUCGAUCAUUAAGAGAGUUUACUGAUUAAAAAAAUUGGAAGGGAUGGUAAAUCCUGGGGUCGAGAGUUCCUCUCAUCCCAUUCUUACUCGAGACCUUUUUUCAUUUUUUUAUUUCAAUAAAGAUACCGCAAGCUUGUUUGUAACACAUAUAUAUAUAUAUAAGUACUUCAUAACUCAGCCAUUGUUCCACGGCUGUGACGUCAUGUUAGAACUUUUCCACCACCCCUGUUCUGAUUUAGGACCAUUUCUCGAUUUGUGCGUGUCAUCCUUGAGCAGGGGCCAUGCUAAUCUUCUUUGUAUCAUUCAGUGUCUUGGAGCCCCUGUUCUGGUUUAGGGCUAGCUGGUGGGGUUGGGACACUUGACAACGUACCACACUUUUUUCUUAAAACACUAGAGACAACGUCGGCUCGCGGGAGUUAAUCACACACGUUUUUCUCAUGUCUGUAAACAACAUAUGGCAGCUUGAAAUCUUGGGUUGCUAUAAAACCCAGGGUAAAAUCUUCAAGCAGCACACAAGAAUGGCUUCUUCAGGAACUUUCUUCUUUGUUCUUUUUGUUCUCUAUGUUUCUACAGGUAUCAUCUAUCGUCCUUUGAGUGCAUCUUUGAUGUCAUAUAAAUCUCUGUUUUGUGUGUGUAGUCGCUGCCCAAAACGUGCAUUUUGGUUAUGGAGUUUAUCUUCCCACUACUGAUCUGGGAUCUCCGUUGAGGACCCUGAGGCCCAUUUUCAACGAGAGAGCUAACGAAUUCCUGCUGACCGAGAACUAUACCUCUGUCAAAAACAACCAUGCCCACACCAGUAAUAAUGAAGAGCUCUACAGAUCAGUAAGCUAUGCAACGGUACCAGUUCCUAAUCUGAUCGGUUGAUCACAGUUUGGAGUUACGUUUGGGAUGAACGUUCCUAUAAAAGUUCUGCAGCUUAACAUCGAGGCAUCGUUCAACAAGAUUGCGGGGAGCAAGACAAGCAUCAAGACCACCUCCGUGUUUGUGGAGUCAUACAACCAGAGGAUCUACCUCCGGGACCAUGCAAGGGCCAUCCAAACCCUCCCACUCAACUCUGAUUUCCUCAGUGACUUGCGCAACCUUCCCGAGCCACCCAGCUCCGACAGCGCUUGGGGGCCAUACCAAUCCUUCUUGAACAAGUGGGGAACGCACUACGUGGCCGAGAUGUUCCACGGCUCAUGGCUGCGCCAGUGGACCGUGGCCUCCUCCACGGCGACGUUCACCGAGCGCCAAAUGCAGGCCAAAGCCUGUGCCAAGCUCACCGGCCUCAAGGGAGUCCUCCCCAACAUGGAGGGCUGCGCGGGUAUCACUCUUGAGGAGAUGCGCGCCGCGGAGGGGAUCAACACGCAAGACACUCGAGAGGCCCGGGGUGGAUCCUCCGCCACCGUCUCGCAGCUGCUCUCGGGUGACAUAACCAACGAUCUCAUCCGGAAGUUCAUCGAGGAGGGAGCCACGAGCAAGGAAGCAGUACGCUACGGCUUCUUUCCAGUGUGGGUGCCCGUCUUGUCUCAGUACAUGUCGUCCGCGUCCAUGGAGUGGAGAGUGGCAACGGCGCUCCAGGCUUACUAUGAAGGCUUCCUCGCCUUCAAGUGUCCCCUGGACCAGCUCAACACACCCGCGACUGUCUUGCAGCAGUUUCGGAGGCUCAGCAAUGGCAAGUAUCAGUGCGUUCGCCAGUGCCAGGGCUGCAGGCUUGACAAGGAUUGCAACCUUAGUGGUGUAUCUGGAUGCUAUUGCUACGGUAACUCGUGCAUCAACGCUCUGGGACCGGAUGGCCGAGCUCAGGUUCAGCGGCAGAAGGAUAACCUCGACCGUAAUGUGCUGCCUAACAGGUCGUGUGAGUACAACUUUCCUCAGUGCCGCUGCAACACCAAAUCCAAAGAGGCGAAUUGUGGUGCUGACAACAUGAUUCCGAUAUGGGACCAGGGUCAAAACAGCAUUGCGAUCGAUUCAAACAUCCUUCUUUAUGACAAAGAAUGAGCCAAACAUGAUUGUGUGUUUGUUGUUUGUGAUUUGCAUUGCAUUACGUCUCUACAAUAACAUGCAUCUCUAUGUAUAUUUUCCAUGGUUGUGUGUGGUUUGUAUUUAACAGUCCUGUGUUUUCAAAAAGAAUAAAUAAAAAGAUGUUAAGUUAUACAAUACAAUUCGCAAGAGUCGGCAGCUGUGUACACUGUGUAGGUGAAAGAUGACUUCCAUGUACUAUAUGAGCUCCCCAAGACAUGCACAUCUCAGCUGGAAGACCUUUCUGUCCUGGCAUGAGUGGGAUCAAGUAACUCUUCUGAGCAGGAUCCAGCAGUUGCAAAGAGUGGCCUAAAUUGGAGCAGCUGCAAUCAAGACCUGGUGGUAAAUUGUGUAUACUUGAAUUAGACUUGGAAAAACAUUAUCACUAAAUUGUUUGUGAGUGCAUGAAAUAUGGAAAGGGAAUAUAAAAAUGUGCAUAUCAAUUAGCCCAAAAACCUUAGCUUAUAUACAGAAGCGAGUGGUCUGGAUUGAAACUAAUAUGACAGCUACCAAAAUCCCACUAUGCUAAUAUUAGUAUACGGCAUCGUAGCCAUACACUAAUGGAAGACUAUCAGGGUUCUCUUGUAAACGGGCUGGGAUCUAGAGGAACAUCAGGAGGAGGCAUCGGCGCAUCUGUAGACGGUAUUAACUGCUCCUGAUCCUUUUGUAUGAAGCAUUUCAACUGCUGCACAUGCACAAUCUCUAGAGGCUUGGCCUACUAGACGUCAUGCCGAACCUUAUAAACUUGUGGUGUAACUUGCCGCAACACCUGAUAUGGUCCUUUCCAUUGUGCAAGGAGCCCCUUAGAUAAACCACGUACCGUAAGAUGGGGAAAAUGGACUAACACUAAAUCAUCCACUUUGUACUCCGUAGGUAGACGAUGAUGGGAGUUAUACCACCGUUGUUGUCCCACUUGUACGUGGCCUAAGUAUUUGGUAGACUCUGCUCGGACAAGUGGAAAAAUGCUCGUCAAAUAUUGAUCCCAUGACCUAGCAUUUGUAGCUUGUGGCAAUCGUGAAGGUAAACCCAGCUCCGUUGGUAAUAUUGGAUCAUGAUCAUAUAGAAGUUUAUAUGGUGAAGCACCAAUAUAACUCUACACCCCAGUGAUAUAUAUAUACCAAAUAGAUGGCAAAUAAUUAUCCCAAUCCGAAUGCUAAAAAUUCACAUACUUCACAAUCAUCCCCUUGAAUGUCCGAAUGAGCCGUUCCACCAAGCUAUUUGAUUGUGGAUGGUAAACAAUGUGGUGUAUCCCCAACCAAAACAUCAAAACAUGAAAUGCCUCAGCCAUAAAUGUGGGACCAUUAUCCGAAAGAAUCCAUUCUGGAACACCACUCGAUUGAGGAGGAAGUAUCCAAUAUCAGUUGCAGAGACGCUAGUAAGAGCACCAACUUCCACCCAAUGAGUUAAAUAGUCAUAAACAAUAAUAACAUACUCAUUACCAAUAGUCUACCGUGAAAAAGAUCCCUUAAGAUCAAAUGCGACCAACUCAAAUGGACGGAAAACUACAAUUGACUCCAACCAUCCUUCCGCAACCCGAGGGGGAGUAUUACAAGUAUUACGAAUUAUUAAGAAUUCCUCCUCGCGGCUUUUUCACUCUGUCCUGCCACCAACGAAGAUUCAACUCCACCAUCGAUCAAGGAAUGAAGGCGUUCUCGAGGAUUCUAAAAGGAACUCACUCCUUUUCAACCUAGAUCCAGCUAAGUUCCUCGAAUGAUACAUAUUUCCGACAGCCUGCAACAUGAAAAAGAAGAAAAAUCUAAAGCCAUGCCAAGACCCACAAUUUUUGGGUGAGAAGAAUUAAGUACCUUGAAGAAAGCCUCCUUCUGGGGCACCUCAACAAGCGUGGAGCCUCCACUCCGUUCCAAAAACUCCGCAACAGUCAUGCGCUAAAUUUUGGGAUGCCUGACAAGGUCGCACCGUCGUCUAAAAGCUGCAACAAAAGGAAGCAACCGGAAGUUUGAUCAUCUGAGGAGCUGGUGUUGUGAGCUUCUCCAAAAGCUUUGGCUGUCAGGCCCAUCUAGAAUUUUACGUAGCGGUGCCAUUGAAGUGGCCAUUACCUGGAGCACGAGAGAGAGAGAGAGAGAGUUUCCACAAAGUUUUCCAACGAGCAGCCAGUCCAAGAGAGCGUUAGAUGGCAGCCAAGCUCACGUAAAAUCGAGAUUGCCAAGAGCGUAGAAAAUACGUUCAAGGAGGUCGCAAGUAGAGGCCAUCGCAUCUAAGAUCGAUCGAAGAAGAAAGGAUGAAAACCAGCGAUCGAAACGAGAAAAAAGGAGACCUUACAGUGCUUGACGAGCGAUGACACGGCUUGAGCGGCGGAGUCGCCAAAUGUGUUAGCACUGGAAGAGAGCUCGGACGAUCGGUUUAGCGAGAGGGAUCGCGAGACCGGUCAUUAAAAGCAUGCAAAGCUUGAUGCCUCGAUCAUCUGGAGCAAACGCGAGAAGUAUCGAAAGAGUUACUUCAACCUGCAAAAGCCAUUGAGCCAAAGCUCCCACUGUCGAGGCCAAAACGAGCAAAACACCUCCUGUCAAGCACCACUUUGUAUGAAUCGACUUUAAAGCUCAAGGCAAUGAGGAUUGCACAGCUUGCAAUGAAUUGCAGCC
rnacentral:lncRNA from 1 species